AUUCCAAUCGAACUCGGAGAUAGCUGGUUCUCCUCGAAAUAGCUUUAGGGCUAGCGUUGUGUAGUAGCAUUUGGGGGUAGAGCUCUGAAAGGGUCUGGGGCCGGCAACGGUACCCAUCCCUAUCAAACUACGAAUACCGAAUGUGUAAUCACGGCAGUCAGAACGGCGGGGCUAAGCUCGUCGCUCAAAAGGGAAACAGCCCAGACCAUCGUCUAAGGUCCCUAAUUAAUACUAAGUGGGAAACAAGGUGAAGUUUCUUAAACAGCUAGGAUGUUGGCUUAGAAGCAGCCAUUCAUUUAAAGAGUGCGUAACAGCUCACUAGUCAAGAGAUUUUGCGUGGAAAAUGUAACGGGGCUAAGUAUUAAACCGAAGACAUGGAUUGCUAUUAUGAUUCGUCAUAGUAGCAGUGGUAGAGGAGCGUUGAUAUUGCGGUGAAGUCAGAUUGGAAAGUCUGGUGGAGCGUUAUCAAGUGAGAAUGCUGGAAUCAGUAACCAUAAGACAGGUGAGAAUCCUGUCGGUCGUAAGAGCAAGGUUUCCAGGGCUACAGUAAUUGUCCCUGGGUUAGUCGGUCCUAAGCCGAGGCGUAUCAGCGUAGGCGAUGGACAACAGGUUAAUAUUCCUGUACAGGUAGUAGUUGUUAACAGUUCACGGUGAAUGACCGGAGCGGAUUAAUGGUUUAUCCGUCCAAGGUUUAUGGGAACAUAAACUGAGUGAAAGGAACUCUUCGGAGUUUUAAUUCUGGGUGAAGCACUGGCUAGAAAAGCUGAUUAACUUAUGCUGCUGCCUACCGUACCGCAAACCAACACAGGUGCUCGGGUCGAGUAGACCAAGACCUACGAGAGAACUUUCGCUAAGGAACUCGGCAAAAAAGCGUCCGUAACUUCGGAAUAAGGACUGCCCUCUCAUUAAGAUGAGGAUUUGCAAAGAGUUGCUCGGCAGAGCAGUGUAAAGGUAAUUAAUAUAUGUAUCUUAAAUUCGAAUAUCUGUUGUCGAGACACAAUUUUAUUUGACUCUUUGUAGCUUGAUCAUCAUUUUGAUGAGAGGGCCGCAGCUAAAGAGCCCACGGAACUGUUUAUCAAAAACAUAGGUCUCUGCUAACGCGAAAGCGGAUGUAUAGGGGCUGACUCCUGCCCAGUGUCGGAAGGUUAAGGGGAGCGCUUCACGGUGCAAACUGAAGCCCCGAUGAACGGCGGCGAUAACUAUGAUCGUCCUAAGGUAGCGAAAUUCCUUGUCUGGUAAGUUCAGACCUGCACGAAUGGAGUAAUCAUGUGGGCACUGUCUCGGCGAAGGCCUCGGUGAACGUGCAUUGGCGGUAAAGAUGCCGUCUGAUCAUGCCAGGACGAGAAGACCCCAUGGAGCUUUACUACAACUUUGCAUUGAUUGUUGGGACAUUUUGUGUAGCAUAGGUGGGAGGCUUUGAAGCAGAUACGCUAGUAUUUGUGGAGCCAAAGGUGAAAUACCACCCUGAGUGUUUUAGCAAUCUAACUCUUGACGUUAUCCGCCAAGAGGACCGUGCAUGGCGGGUAGUUUAACUGGGGCGGUUGCCUCCUAAAGAGUAUCGGAGGCGUUCAAAGGUUGGCUAGCUACGGAUGGAAAUCGUAGUGGUAGUGUAUGCGCAAAAGCCAGCUUGACUGUGAGGGCCACAACCCAAUCAGACACGAAAGUGGGAGCAAAUGACCCGCUGUACAGAACUUCGGUUCAAUUUACGUGGGAAAGACAGCGCACACGGAUAAAAGUUACCCUGGGGAUAACAGGCUGAUCGCGCCCAAUAGUUCACAUAGACGGCGCGGUUUGGCACCUCGAUGUCGGCUCAUCACAUCCUGGAGGGGGAGCACCUUCCAAGGGUCCGGCUGUUCGCCGGUUAAAGUGGUACGCGAGCUGGGUUCAGAACGUCGUGAGACAGUUCGGUUUAUAUCCGGCAUGAUCGUUAGGAAUUUUGAGGAGAUUUGUCUCUAGUACGAGAGGACCGAGAUGAACGAACCUCUAGUGUAUCGGUUGUGGCCACCUGCUGCAUUGCCGAGUAGCUAUGUUCGGAAGAGAUAAGCGCUGAAAGCAUAUUAAGCGCGAAGCCCACUCCAAGAUAAGAAUUCCCUAUGGAGACUCCAGAGAGAUGAUCUGGUUGA
rnacentral:rRNA from 1 species